rnacentral:misc_RNA from 1 species
UAGUGUGCCAAUGAUAAUCGGCUCCCCGCUAUAUCCAGGACGCCUGGGAGUGUCGUCUGCCCUCGGUACUAACCUUGGAACCGUUUUAUUUAGUCCAGUACCGGUUGUUGACGUGUUCUUUCUGUCUGUAUAUCAAAUUUCCUCAGUUAGAUCUCUGAAGACCACGCCAUGUCGGCACUUCAUGCAUAUGAUUAGAGUCGGUUUGGAAGUACAAGUAUAUCCGUCAGCACAUAAUCCUCAGACAGUUGUGUCCGAAGUGUGGUCCACCAGGUCGGUGUCGCCUUGUCGCUGGGAUCGAGGAUGGUGAGGACUGUGUCGGGGAGGGACUAUCAACCAAUAUCGAUCUGGUCGUAAUUAAUGUGGCAACUACACAAGGAUUUGAGAUGGAACCGGGAAAAAUCGAUUAACUGGAAAGUAGGCACGCGUCCAGAUACUCAGUGCGGAGUACCUCGUCUGCUUCCUACGGAAACAAAGACAGGCAGUGCUAAAAAUGGCUGACAGUGCCAAGGACGCACAAAAUGGCGACUCUGGCAAGGACCCGGAGUGUGAGCAGGACCCAGCCCCCGCGCAGGAGGGCGCCACAGAUACUCCGGAUAUCGGACAGGAGGUGGUUGAACCCGAGGAGGACCCGUACAAAAUUGUGGCUGCUAUAGACUUUGGGACGACUUUUAGUGGAUAUGCUUACACUUUUGUGUCCAAUCGUGACGUCAUAUAUACCAACAAGAACUGGGGCCAGACGCAAGGUUUCCUCCUCCACAAGACCCCUACCUCUCUCCUCCUUAAACCUGAUGGACAGUUCGAGGCGUUCGGUUUUGAGGCUGUGUCGAAAUACAAUGAUCUGUCGGAAGAAGAGGCGGCGGAGUACUAUUACUUUGAUAGGUUUAAGAUGAACCUCUACGACAAUAAGGAGCUGAAGACGGACAUAACCUUACAGGACACUUCCGGUAAGGAACAGCUUGCCGUGGACGUUUUUGCCAAAUCUUUGGGUUUCAUGAAGUCUCAUUUCCUACGUCAUUUGAGCGUGACCCUGGGGUACGAGCCCGACCCACAGUCCGUCCGCUGGGUCAUUACAGUACCUGCCAUAUGGGACGAAAACGCCAAACAGUUUAUGAGAGAAGCGGCGCAUAAGGGUGGUCUUAUAGACACAACGCACAGUAACCAACUUGUUAUAGCAUUAGAACCGGAAGCAGCAUCACUCAACUGCCGAUCACUUCCAGUCAGCACCUUCGUCCAAACAGAAAAUGAACAAGUGUCAAUGCUGACCUUUGAACCCGGAACUAAAUACCUCGUGAUUGACGCUGGAGGUGGAACCAUAGAUAUUGUAGCACACAAGGUCCGGAAAGAUGGUCGUAUUCGGGAGCUGUUCCGCGCCACAGGUGGUGCCUGGGGUGGAACCGUCAUCGACCGUCAGUUCAUCGCCCUCCUUGACAAGAUCUUUGGCGCAGAGUUUCUUGCCGCAUUCCAGCGCGAGUUUCCCAAGGACUAUGUCGAGUUGUUACAGGACUUCGAGAUAAAGAAACGUGGUGAAUGCGAGAGUGUGCGCGUGUCGCUCCCUUAUAAUUUUUGUAAUUUUCGUCACGAGGACCGGUCUGUGCAGGAAUAUAUCAAAUCGUACGCCGCGGCGGAGGGCGGACAGAUUAAGUUCUCAUCGGGAAAACUUGUGUUGACUUCUGAGGUGGUCACAGCUUUGUUCUGCGAUGCGCUUAAACAAAUAAACGAUCACGUGACACAUCUUCUUCAAAGGCCAAAAUUAAAGGACUUAAAAUAUAUGUUCCUUGUUGGUGGGUUUGCCGAGUCGGUCCGCCUUCAGAACUCGAUCCGGUCGGAGUUUGGCGAACAGGUGACAGUCCUCAUUCCCGAGGAAGCUAGUUUGUCUGUUGUUAAAGGAGCCGUGGCAUUUGGCUGCGACCCCAGCGCCAUCUGCCAGCGGAUCUGUCGGUACUCGUACGGAGUUGGGUCAUAUCUCCCUUUUGAGGAAGGUGAACACAGAGACGAUCUCAAGGUCGACUCGGACGGAAUGGUGCUAUGCAAACACAUUUUCCAGACUUGGGCGGAAACCGGAGAGGUCAUAGGUCAUAACGAAAUCUGGCGGGAAACAUAUACGCCAAUCAUUACCAACCAGAAAGGCAUUAUUUUUGAGUUUUUCAAGUCGUCCAAACGGCGACUAAAAUACACAGAUGAAGACGGCGUAGAGAAAUGUGGUUGCCUAGUCGUAGAAAUGCCUGAUCUCACAGGCGAUAAGGAACGCGCAGUUGAUCUAGAGGUCAUAUUCGGGGGUACUGAAAUCAAGGUAGUUGGGUACGAUCAUACGAGUCAAACACGGCGGGAAACAUACAUAGACUUUCUUUCAACGUAGUCUUCAGUACUACAUGUGUACAGGUUGUGAGGGGUGAUUAAGAUUCGACUUUCUUGAAAUCAACCAUCUUCUCUGCACUUUUGCAAAUAUACCUUUCGAGCGGUCACGAUAUCAGAUGCUCAUGGACGGGGAUUGGCACGUGCCAGUUCCGGGUGAGGUUGUAUUUUAUGUUCGCAGUGCCAUGGUUUCCUUGUGCCCAAAAACUUCAUCACGUGACGUAUACACUUUGAAAAGCAUCGUGCCAAAACAGCUCAAGUGGCGCUAAGUAUAUACAUAUAUAAGCCCUUUGCCUUGUAUCUUUCCGAAUGUUUCCAGCACAUGUAUUUGCCGUGCCUUCGCCUACACGUACUUGUAAAUAUUGAGGCAGGUAUUUAAACCUAACUGCAAAACAAAAUGGCUACCAAAAUAUAUCGCAUCAACUUGGAUCAAUAAAUAAACCA